rnacentral:rRNA from 1 species
UACGUAGGCAGCGAGCGUUGUUCGGAGUUACUGGGCGUAAAGAGUGCGUAGGCGGUUUUUUAAGUUUGGUGUGAAAUCUCCCGGCUUAACUGGGAGGGUGCGCCGAAGACUGGAAGGCUUGAGUAUGGGAGAGGUAAGCGGAAUUCCUGGUGUAGCGGUGAAAUGCGUAGAUAUCAGGAGGAACACCUGCGGUGUAGACGGCUUACUGGACCAUAACUGACGCUGAGGCACGAAAGCGUGGGUAGCAAACAGG